AGUUCCGACAGGUCGUGUGUAAAGAUCCGUCACCACGAGAGCCAUGUCUUCAUCCACUCCAAAGCCUCGAGUCGUCCCAAUGUUACGAUCUCGAGUAUCCUGCAGCAACCUGAUUGGAUAAAAAUAAGGUAUUACGUAGAUAUGUACCGACCUGUGACUGCAAGGCGACGACAAAUCAUCGAGUCUUCCCAAUAUCGUGAUCCCUGGUAUCCUGGAGGGACUCUGGUGUUCCAAUAAGUUCUUUGCAGUACAUCCAAGCAGCCGUCGAAAUAUGCGGAAGUGAAGCAAUCCUUACUGUCGAAGUAAAAACGCAGCAAAAAUAUAAAAUAAAUACGGAUAAAGUGCAAAUUUCUUACCGACACCCGCGAUAAAUUUCCGGUUCACGAUAGAGAUUGUAACAAUCCCAGCAUAUUUCAGUGAAUUCGGCAUAAAUAUUCAUGUCGUAAACACCACCACAUUUGCUGAUCUCGGUAAAAGAGUGCUUCGAAAGCGGAUGCGGAAAGAUGGAAAGCCCUGAUGGAGGCUCGGCAGUACCAAGAGCUGCCAUAGCCAGGACCAGCAGUCCAACGGCGGUGAGUUGAUUUGAUAAUUUAAAAGUCAUCACAAUAUUUGGAUUUCAGAGCAACGUCGUACCUACGUUUCACAAAUAACAAAUAUUAGCUAUUCUUUAACCUUUUUUAAAGUCAAAUUUUAAGUAACCUGAUUCCGUUAAGAAACUCAGGUGGUAUUACCUUUUGUAAUUGUAAAUUGGAAGUACCUUUCUUCGCCAAGAUGCUCGAAACUUCUACGGUAAAACGAAACUCGAUAGCAGCUUUUAUAGUAGAGAUCCGCCUCUGUAAAAACUAGCGUCGUUGUACAAGAAAAUUGCCAUACUUAACAUAAGUUGCUUAUUUUAGAAUGCCCACCUAUUCUUUCGUUUUCAAUGGUGUACUUGAUUUGUCAAUUAUUAUAAUCUGGAAGAAAUUUAGUAUUUAGGAUGACCCUCCGUAGCCAUCUCAUCCUCGACUUCCUGCUGUUUACAAACGAAAAUCUAUUUGAAGACUAAGUGGGGGAUCUUACUUGAAAUAUAGCUUUGAGCCACAAAAAAAAGAAACAUCAUUUCAAAUCUUCAUAGACGACAAGUAGACUAAUUUAGUUGCUGACGAGCUUGAUGAACCCAAUUUAAAGUUCUUAACGAAACUGAUUUGCAAUUGUCUAUUCGUGUUACUAAACGUUGCUAAUAAUUGGUUGAUGGACGUUUUUCGCCAAAAACGCUCAAUACGCCUCCGUAAUAUUUACCCUUUCACGUUACCAAAAUACCGUGAUAUUUUUUUUUUUUUUUUUUUUUUUUGCACCUUGGUUUAAUAUUUGUUCUGUAUGCAGCCAUUGGUACGUUUACCAUAAAGACUGGUAUUAUGGAACACGCUCUCCAAUUCCACGAAGUAAUUAAAAUUUUACCUUGUCCAAAAAAGAGACAUUUUUUAAAUUCACCGGUUAUCUAGCACCCAUUUACUAUGGGUUUUUAUACUAACCUUUUGUGCCCGAAGUAAAGUACAGAAAUGUCCAGUAAGAUUCUGCUUAUUAUGGAUAAUAGGAAAAGUAAAGCCUGUGAUCUUGAUUCGACAUUGGAAUGAAAUGAAGUUUUCUUUCGUUCAGCGAAUUUUGAAGUCGAGCAUCAAUGCUUCGUUUUCUUCUUAUUAUUUUUUUAUU